AGCCUCCAGCUCGCGGUCUCUCACUCAGGACCAAGAGACGUUGGUGUGCAGGACAUUCAGUGCGUGUGUUUUUCAUUCCCGUGUGUAUUUGGUUCAAAGACGUUGUCAUCUGUGUAGAAGCCAGUUUAGAGCUCUGGUUUCUACCCCUUGCCCUGCUGGCAGGGCAUUGAGCGGCACCCGUUGCCGGCCACCUGGGUGCGGAGAGCGAGGAGGGUGAAGGGAGGAGCAACCCCGAGCAUCUGCCAUUCAGCAUCAUCUGAUCUAGAGAUGAGGCGAAUCAGGCAGAUGCUCAGGAGGAAGGCCGGGCAGGUGGCUCCACAGCCAGAAGAAGACA